CUUCCUCGUUGGUAUCGGUAACAAAUGGACUCGUCGCAGCAUAACUCUGCUGCCGGUAGCAUCGGCGGCAACGGAAUAAUUAACCCUAGAUCCAACGACGCAUCACCGGCCGAUUUAGCGGCCAACGCCGUUGCUUCCGCCGCCGGUUCACCAGCUGAGGAGUCAAAACAGAAUCUCAAUCAAGUCAUAAAUUCAAUCGACAAAACCCUAGGAAUUCUCCACCAGCUUAAUCUCACCGUCUCUUCUUACAACGUUUCAUCUCAACUUCCUCUUCUUCAACGCAUGAAUAAUCUUGUGCUUGAGCUUGAUAAUAUGGCGAAACUGGGAGAGAAAUGCAAUAUUCAAGUGCCAAUGGAGGUUCUGAACUUGAUUGAUGAUGGGAAGAACCCAGAUGAAUUUACAAGGGAUGUGUUGAAUAGUUGUAUCGCCAAGAACCAAAUCACUAAGGGGAAAACUGAUGCAUUCAAGGUCCUCCAGAAGAUGUCCUCGCAAACCCUUGAAUGCAUCAGUU
rnacentral:misc_RNA from 1 species